rnacentral:rRNA from 1 species
GAUGAACGCUAGCUACAUGCUUAACACAUGCAAGUCGAGGGGCAGCAUGGUCUUAGCUUGCUAAGGCCGAUGGCGACCGGCGCACGGGUGAGUAACGCGUAUCCAACCUGCCUUACACUCUUGGACAGCCUUCUGAAAGGGAGAUUAAUACAAGAUGUUAUCAUGAGUAAGCAUUUUCGCAUGAUUAAAGGUUUACCGGUGUAAGAUGGGGAUGCGUUCCAUUAGAUAGUAGGCGGGGUAACGGCCCACCUAGUCUUCGAUGGAUAGGGGUUCUGAGAGGAAGGUCCCCCACAUUGGAACUGAGACACGGUCCAAACUCCUACGGGAGGCAGCAGUGAGGAAUAUUGGUCAAUGGACGAGAGUCUGAACCAGCCAAGUAGCGUGAAGGAUGAAGGUUCUAUGGAUUGUAAACUUCUUUUAUACGGGAAUAAACGGAUCCACGUGUGGAUUUUUGCAUGUACCGUAUGAAUAAGGAUCGGCUAACUCCGUGCCAGCAGCCGCGGUAAUACGGAGGAUCCGAGCGUUAUCCGGAUUUAUUGGGUUUAAAGGGAGCGUAGAUGGGUUGUUAAGUCAGUUGUGAAAGUUUGCGGCUCAACCGUAAAAUUGCAAUUGAUACUGGCAGUCUUGAGUACAGUUGAGGUAGGCGGAAUUCGUGGUGUAGCGGUGAAAUGCUUAGAUAUCACGAAGAACUCCGAUUGCGAAGGCAGCUUACUAACCUGUAACUGACAUUGAUGCUCGAAAGUGUGGGUAUCAAACAGG